AUUGAACGCUGGCGGCAGGCCUAACACAUGCAAGUCGGGCGGAGCGGCGGACGGGUGAGUAAUGUAUGGGGAACUGCCUGAUGGCGGGGGCUAACUACUGGAAACGGUAGCUAAUACAGCAUACCAUCAGAUGAACCCAGUGGGGAUUAGCUAGUAGGUGAGGUAACGGCUUACCGAGGCGACGAUCCCUAGCUGGUCUGAGAGGAUGAUCAGUCACACUGGAACUGAGACACGGUCCAGACUCCGACGGGAGGAAGCAGUGGGGAAGAUGGGACAAUGGGCGAAAGCCUGAUCCAGCCAUGCCGCGUGUGUGAAGAAGGUCUUCGGAUUGUAAAGCACUUUCAGUUGGGAGGCGUUACCAACAGAAUAAGCACCGGCUAACUUCGUGCCAGCAGCCGCGGUAAUAC
rnacentral:rRNA from 1 species